UGGGAGAGGUAAUGGUGGUUUGCUACUGUCGGAGUCUCUCAGGCGGCCGUCCCGCGGCCAGUCAGGUCCCGGGAAGGUCUUCAGCGGAGCAGGCCACCACCCCGCGUCUCCCGGCCGGCGUGCAACGCCUCCCAACAGCCUCGCCAUCAAUUGCCAAACUCCUAGUAAAGUUUGCGCCUCGCCCGUUGCCCCAGCCCGGCGGCCCUGUCGCUGUCCCUUCCGCGACCCUCGCCACAGCGAAAGUGACGGGAAAGGCCACGCCCCCUCUCAGGCCGGCAUCGCGGCCCUCCGCCCCCCGGCCCGGGACGGUGAGGGGCGUGAAUGCGGCGGGG
rnacentral:lncRNA from 1 species